rnacentral:rRNA from 1 species
CAAGUCGAACGCGAAAGUGGAGCAAUCCAUGAGUAGAGUGGCAAACGGGUGAGUAACGCGUGGGCGACCUACCUCAGAGUGGGGGAUAACCUUCCGAAAGGAGGGCUAAUACCGCAUGACAUACCGUGUUUGGAUACACGGAUAUCAAAGCCGGGGAUCGCAAGACCUGGCGCUUGGAGAGGGGCCCGCGUCCGAUUAGCUAGUUGGUGAGGUAACGGCUCACCAAGGCUCCGAUCGGUAUCCGGCCUGAGAGGGCGGACGGACACACUGGAACUGAGACACGGUCCAGACUCCUACGGGAGGCAGCAGUGGGGAAUUGUUCACAAUGGGCGCAAGCCUGAUGACGCAACGCCGCGUGGAGGAUGAAGACUUUCGGGUCGUAAACUCCUUUCGACCGAGAUGAAUUCCCCUCGACCUAACACGUCGAGGGGGUGACAGUAUCGAGGGAAGAAGCCCCGGCUAACUCCGUGCCAGCAGCCGCGGUAAUACGGGGGGGGCAAGCGUUGUUCGGAAUUACUGGGCGUAAAGGGUUCGUAGGUGGCUUGCUAAGUCAGACGUGAAAUCCCUCAGCUUAACUGGGGAACUGCGUCUGAUACUGGCGAGCUUGAGUGCAGGAGAGGAACGCAGAAUUCCAGGUGUAGCGGUGAAAUGCGUAGAUAUCUGGAGGAAUACCGGUGGCGAAGGCGGCGUUCUGGACUGCAACUGACACUGAUGAACGAAAGCCAGGGGAGCAAACGGGAUUAGAUACCCCGGUAGUCCUGGCCCUAAACGAUGAAUGCUUGGUGUGGCGGGUAUCGAUCCCUGCCGUGCCGAAGUUAACGCGUUAAGCAUU